rnacentral:rRNA from 1 species
UGGGGAAUAUUGCGCAAUGGGCGAAAGCCUGACGCAGCGACGCCGCGUGAGGGAUGAAGGUUUUCGGAUCGUAAACCUCUGUCAGAAGGGAAGAAACCGCACUGUGCUAAUCAGCAGUGCCUUGACGGUACCUUCAAAGGAAGCACCGGCUAACUCCGUGCCAGCAGCCGCGGUAAUACGGAGGGUGCAAGCGUUAAUCGGAAUUACUGGGCGUAAAGCGCACGUAGGCUGCUUUGUAAGUCAGGGGUGAAAUCCCACGGCGCAACCGUGGAACUGUCUUUGAUACUGCUUAGCUUGAAUCCGGGAGAGGGUGGCGGAAUUCCAGGUGUAGGAGUGAGAUCCGUAGAUAUCUGGAGGAACAUCAGUGGCGAAGGCGGCCACCUGGACCGGUAUUGACGCUGAGGUGCGAAAGCGUGGGGAGCAAACAGG